GCAUAAAUUGAUAUACUUUCAAAUAUUUGUUUUCUCUAUAAAACAACUAUAUAAUCAAUCAAAAAAAUUCAUCACCAAGGAAAAAGCUCUUCCAACUUUUGUUGUAGUGACCAGUGUUAUUAAACUCAACUUCACAAUUAAAUUAACAAGUCGUCAAGCUUUGUACAAAUUUAUUUUAAUCAAUGUUUCUGAAAACUAUUCAAAUCUUUUCACAUUUGAAACAAUCAUUGUUUACUUGUCUCACAUAGUCAAUAUAAUUGUCAAAUUCAAACUAAGAUCCUCAAGCAUGGAAUCACUAAAAUCACUAACUCACUAAGCUUAAUUAACUUGUGCACGUCAAAAGUUAUACUUAUUGUUGUAUGCUGUUUUGUUCAUGAGUUGUUGAGAGAAUAAGAUUUUAAAUGGAUGAUCAUAUUGCUUGUUACUCAUAGCACAUCAACUUAAGGUAUGACCAUGUAACCUUCUUUUAUGUAUGUGAUUUCUUCAUAUUCUACGUGUAAGACUUAUGGGACGGCAAUAGGAAGCCGUGAGUCCAAGUUCCGCCUAUGUAAAUUGAUGUUUUUGGAGAGGAGGGUGUGUGUAGAGUGGUCUGGUAGUUGCUGGUUAAUGUGUUAGGAUUCAUUUGAAUGUAUUGUAUCACUGUUAGUAACAAGAGGGGUUGAAUACUAUGAACGCCAAUCGAUUUGAAUGUCACUUGAGUUUACGCCCACCAUGUGUUUGUUGAAUUGAUGACCCGGCUUGGAUGUAUCAGGACUCAAAUCAAGGUAUGUGAAGGCGCCCCUUUCCUCCAUUUUUCAAGCACGAAUCUACGUUGUUGAUGGUGUAAGAAACACAAGUGUCUGAAUAAAUAUUUUGAAGAAUGUCAAAGUGCCAAGUUGCAUAGAACAGGCUGUAUUGACAUGGUCUAGCUAAAUCCAAAUCUAACUGGGAAAAGGGUGUUUUUAUGUAAUUAAGGAAAACAAGGAUAACUGUGUGUGAGUUUUCUUUUCCAGCCGAGUAGAAGUCCAAGUCGAGUUCAACAAGACUUCGAGGUGGCAAAGACAAAAGUUUAUUCAAACAAGGACUCGGUGGAGUUUUUGAUGUAUAAAUAGGGGGUUAUUUUUAUCAAAAAAGUUGUGCACUUACAUUGAGAGUAAUAUCAAAACACGAUCAAAAGUUUGUGAGAGUUUUAAAUUUUUAUUUUUGGGGAGUGCUGCGGUUGAGAGAAAAAUUGUACAAUUGAUGACAAGAUUUUUUUGUUUAAAAUCAGAGUUUUGAGAGUAGGUAUCGUUCGACAAGUUGAAGAACAAUAAAAGACUUAAAAUCGGGGUUUUUUGCCUUGGGAUAGAAAAGAAUUAGAGCUUAUAAUUCAUUAGAAUACAUAGUUUUGUAAUUGUUGUGUUAUUUUAAGGUUUAUAAAUAAUAAUAGAUUGUGUUGAGUGUA